rnacentral:lncRNA from 1 species
CUCGCCUCAAACGCCCCGAGUGAGGGCAGCCCCCUGCCGCCCCCGGGAGCUGCAGCGGUGGCCCAGGAGGUCGCGAUUCACUCAGCUGAAGUGAGGUCUUUGUUUUGGGGCUUUUGGGAAUGGAAGAGAAGAUGUUACAAAGACUAGAACAUAGCUGCCUCAUUCCUCCUGGUCUAGCCCAAGAUAUUGUACUUGGUGGUGCUUUGAAUUCAGAAGGAAAAAUUGACUUACACACCACAUUGACUCUAUUGGCAUUUUCUCCCCAGAAGGCAGUGGAUUGUUUUUCAGGUAAGAAAUGACAAUUUUAUUUGGUCCGCAAACUGCUCUGCAAAAUCUUUUUCUAUAUGGUGCAUCUUUCUCUCUAUACACGUAAAAAGGAGUGCUUUUAAAGCGUGCAUACAACAUAUAAAGACAGAGGACACAGAUUAACUAUGAACCUUUUUUUUUUUUUUUUUAAAUAUAGAAUAUUAAGUAAGC